rnacentral:lncRNA from 1 species
AAAACAUGCAGUCUGUAAUCUACCCCCAUGUCAGUGUAGAGAGGCCUGUUCAUGAAGACACAAAAUACUUUGACGACACCAAAACAUAUUACACAGUGUAGAUGGACGGAUAGAAAGCGUGAACAUCAAAAGCCAUCGUGUGUGUUACCAAGUUUCCAUUCUGCAUCUAACAAUAGGAACCAAGCAUCCAACAUCAUAACUUUAUUAUUAUAUAGUCCAGGCAAUGAUGCUCAAAAAAGGGUAUGGAGAGAAAAGUUUGGAAGACUAUUGAAUAUGAAUAUUUGACCCCGCAAUUUUGUUUUGGGUGUUAAGGAGGUAAAAAUAUCAAAAGUCCCCACCCCUACCCCUUGUGCUAAGGGGGUGGGGUGGUUCAAAGGUACCAUUUUUCGGUUUCUCGCAUAUAACUCGAAAACUAUGUAUCUUACGGACAUAGCUGUUACAUACAAAAGUAAAGCUUAUAUAAUUUCCUACAAUAUUCAUCUCACAACUUUUCUAGUUUUCGAAAUAUACUCUCUUAAAUGUGUGACAUUUUUGGAAAAAAAACAUAUUCGCCUCCAAUAUUUUUCUAUUUCUACUCUUGUAACUUUUUAACAAUUGAUGUGAAAAAUCAAUGCAGAUUAUGAGCUCAUAGAGCAAUAAAUUCUAUUCAAUUUGAUGUAUAAUUUAUCACUUUUACGCACUUCCCUACAAGUGUUGCAAUAGCUUUAGUGUUAAGUGAGAGGGGAUGAGGGUGGUUUGAAAGUUGAAUUUUUCAGCUUUUUGCUUCCGCGCUCAUAUGUUGAGAACAAUGCGUUCAACCGACAUAACUAACUAUUAAAAAAUUAAGUUUGAUAAAUUCUCCACACUUUUUGUUCAGUGGAAUUGUGAAUUCGGGAACCGUUCCCGAGAUAUUCGCUCUUGAAGGUGUGCAAUUGUUGAAAUAACAGGUUUUUGCUCUUUCAGGGCCUAUAACUCUCCAACAAUGUAUCGUAAAAAUCAAUGCGUAUCGUAAGUUUGUAGAACAUUAAAUUCUCUUUGAAAUGGUGUAUUAUUGCACUAUUCAAAGUUUUUGUUUCAUUUUUAUAUCAACUUUAAUGUAGGGGAUGAAAUUUCCAAUGCUACAACAGUUAUUCAUUUGGCAAUGAAAUUUGAAGCGGGUGUCUGUGACACAAUUUUUGACGUUGCAGCUUAAAUUGGACUAGUUAGUAGAUAAACAUAGCAAAAGUGCACAUCUUUAUCCCCUCUGUUGAAGGUGUGGAACCGCUGAGUUGACACUAGUUGCAAUAUUGAAAAUGUUGCUACAUUGCACUAUCAUUUUUGACAUCACACAACUAUUAUAUGAAUACUUUGUAUUAUGGUAACCAACUUGAAUCAAUUGUCAAUUCCUUUUUUACUGCUUAUUGAAAUUUACUAUUUGUUAUUUUUGAUUUUCAUUAAACGUCCUGUUUCCUACUUAGUGUAGUCAUCAUAACUCUUAGGGCCAUUUGUAAAGUGCCACUUAGAUCAAUAAAUGCAAUCAUUUGUUAUUGUUACAUUGUCUUACAAUUUCUUGGCGUCUACCUUGCUACCAGGUAUUUAGUAGUUUUACUCUUAUAAGUUUUACGGUGAGUUUGAUUUGUUUCAUUCAUUUCAUUCAACUUGGUAUAAUACAGUCCACUUGAAGUCCCUCAUACCAAACACAUCAGAUACAUAGUUUUCGAGUUAUAUGUGAGAAACCAAAAAAUGUUACCUUUGAACCACCCCUACCCCCUUAGCACAAGUGGUUGGGGGGGGGACUUUUGAUAUGUUUACCCCCUUACUACCCUAAACAUUACUGCGGGAUCAAAAAUUGUCUUCUAAACUUUUCCCUCUAUAACCUUUCCUUAACUGCACUAUAUAUCAUCUAGUUAAUUUUGAUAUUGCAUUAAUAUAAAAAGCUUCCCUCAUAGUAUAAUUUUUCAAUAUUUUACUAAUUGUCUAGUACACAAGAAAUCAAUAUAUUGCCGAGAUUGUCAAAGAUGUGCUUUGAUGUAAAUUAUUGCAAAAAAGUAAUAUCAUGCUUAGCUAUGCAUAACGAGGCAUGAUGGUCAUACUUUACUGAAUCGAAAUAAGCUGUUAUAACUUUUUAUACUAUUAAUUUGGUUUUCAAUAAACUAUAUGAUCAGAUGCCUCAUUACUAAAUGCAAAAUUCAUGUCGGCUAUGUAGCUUUUCUGCAAUAAACUAGAAUUACUCAAUAA